UGAGAACCCUUUGAAAGGACGUUCAAGGGGUUCUCAAAAUUCGAGAUAGAUCUAAUUAGACUUUUUUACUUUUUUCUGAAUUUUUUAUUUUUCCACUCUGGAAUAUAGAGCGGACUGGUUAAAAAAAGAAAAUCCUAUUUAGUAUAAUAAUUGGAUAAUAGAACCUCUACCCUAUCAACGGAUAGCGAGGAGAACCAAAUCUGGAUAAAUACCAAUUCCUAUUACUGGUAAAAAGAUACAGAUUAAAAGAAAGAGUUCUCGUGGUCCAGAAUCUACAAAAUUUUUGUUUGGAACAUGAAAUAGCUUGUAUCCAUAGAACAUCUGGCGUAACAUAGAUAAUAAAUAAAUAGGAGUUAAUAUCAUUCCUAUUGCCAUUACAAAAGUAAUUAGCAUUUUUGGCAUUAACAUAAAUUUAGGACUAGUAAUUAGUCCAAAAAAUACUACUAAUUCUGCAACAAAACCGCUCAUUCCCGGCAAGGCAAGAGAAGCCAUUGAAAAGCUACUAAACAUGGUAAAAAUUUUUGGCAUUGGGAUAGAUAUUCCCCCCAGUUCUUCGAGAUAAACAAGACGCAUUCUAUCACAAGCCGUUCCCCGCCAAGAAAAAAAGUGUAGCACCGAUAAAUCCAUGAGAUAAUAUUUGUAAAAUAGCUCCAUUUAGUCCAAUGUUGGUUAUGGAACCAAUUCCUAUAAUUAUGAAACCCAUGUGAGAUACGGAGGAGUAGGCUAUUCUUUUUUUGAAAUUUCGUUGACCAAGAGAAGUUGAAGCUGCAUAGAUUAUUUGCACCGCUCCUAUUAUUACCAACCAAGGGGAAAAUAGAUAAUGAGCAUGCGGUAACAAUUCCAUAUUGACCCGAAUCAAUCCGGUAUGCUCCCAUCUUUAAUAGAAUUCCGGCUAAAAGCAUACAUGUACUGUAAUGCGCUUCCCCAUGGGUAUCUGGUAACCACGUAUGUAAAGGUAUAAUCGGCAAUUUGACAGCAUAAGCAAUAAGGAAGCCAAAAUACAGUAGUAUUUCCAAUGUUGUAGGGUAUGAUUGAUUAAUCAAUCUUUCUAAAUCUAAUCCGGGUUCAUUGGAACCAUAUAAUCCCAUACCCAGAACUCCAAUUAAGAAAAAAAUGGAACCGCCUGCAGUAUACAAAAUAAACUUGGUAGCUGAAUACAGACGCCUCUUUCCCCCCCACAUGGAUAAAAGUAAGUAACAGGAAUUAAUUCUAACUCCCACAUGAUAAAAAAAAGUAAAAGGUCUCGUGAAGAAAAUAAUCCUAUUUGACCGCUAUACAUUGCUAGCAUCAGGAAAUAGAAUAAUUGCGAAUUCCGAGUAACCGGCCAAGCCGCUAAAGUAGCUAAAGUAGUGAUAAAUCCUGUCAAUAAAAUAGAUCCUAAUGAAAGUCCAUCGAUUCCCAAUCUCCAGUGGAAAUCGAAAACAUCUAUCCAUUUAGAAUCCUCCUUUAAUUGGAUUAAAGGAUCCUCCAAUUGGAAAUGAUAACAGAAUGCAUAAGUCAUUAGAAGGAAUUCUAAUAAACAAAUAGCUAUAGUAUACCACCUAACGAUUUUAUUUCCUUUAUGAGGUAAAAAGAAAAUUAAUGAACCUGCAAAUAUCGGCAAAACAACAAGUAUUGUUAACCAAGGAAAAUAACUCAUGAUAAAGUAAUAAAGACAAGAUACGUUUUGACCAGAAAAGCCCAUGCUCGAUUAUUUCGAGCACAGGCUUCUUCGGUAAAGAGGAAUCAGACGAUUCAAGUGGAGUUUUUUGUAACGUAUCAAUAAGAUAGAGCCAUGCUGCGGGUUGUUUCAGGCCCUAAAUAAACGCGGACACUUAAAAAAUCCGUUGGACAGGCGGAUUCGCAUCUCUUACAACCCACACAAUCUUCGGUUCUCGGCGCGGAAGCAAUUUGCUUGGCUUUACAUCCAUCCCAAGGUAUCAUUUCUAAUACAUCUGUUGGGCAAGCUCGUACACAUUGAGUGCAUCCUAUACAUGUAUCAUAAAUUUUUACAGAAUGUGACAUUGGAUCUCUAAAUUUUCCUUUUCAACAUAAAAAUUUUCGAUCUGGUAAAAAUGAAAUUAGUACUAUAUAAAUUAGAUGUAUUGUAGACACCAGACGAAGCAAUGGUUUAUCCAAACUUUAACAAAUAAUGCAAUAUAUUUCGUAAUCUGUUUGUGAGAAAGCGUGAAAAGAGCCAAGAGACUUGAAUUUAAGGCUUCAACAGUUAUAAUUAUACGAAUUCUACAUACUAAUUCGAAUUAGCCAAUAAAUUGGCUAUCAUCUUUUCAAUAUAAAUUAUUGCAAUAUUCAAAUUGCAAUAUCAAUGAAUUGCAAAAAUGCAAUAUUCAAUAAGUAAAAAACAAUACUCUGAAAUAACCUACUCAAAAAAAGGAUAUUAUUAAACACUAAUAAGAAAAUAAGAUUAGAUUUCUAUUCAUCUUAAUGUUUCUUAUUAUUAUAUAUGCCCCUUUGUUUAGGGGAUUCUAUGUCUAAUUAUUCAAAAAAUUGGAUUGAUUGAUACGAGUUGAUUUCCUGUUACGAUGGAUGGAAGAAAGAAUGGAUAGUCCAAUAGCUGCUUCAGCAGCCGCAAGGGCUAUAACAAAAAUUGCGAAAAUGUCUCCUUUUAAUUGGCGACUAUCAAAUAGAUCAGAAAAUGUUACGAGAUUUAGAUUAAUUGAAUUCAGUAUAAGUUCAAGACAUAUUAGAGCUCUAACCAUGUUUCGGCUUGUGAUCAAUCCAUAGAUACCAAUCGAAAAUAAAUAGACACUCAAAAAAAGUACAUGCUCAAACAUCAUUAACUAACUCCUUAUCAAUCUCGAUUCAUUUCAAUAUGAGGACAAGAAUUGAACCGAUUCAAUUAAUUAGAAUAGAACAAUUACGCAACAAAAGAGAAAGAAGGUAUUUGUUGUAUUGGCAGUAGAUGGGUUUUACUAAAUCAAAAUUGUGAUUCUUUAGUUAUUUAUUUUAUAUUUGAAAUUCUAAGAAUUUUGACUCAUUCUAAGUAUUUCUUAUUGUCGAGCCAUAGUAAUUGCACCUAUUAAAGAAACUAGAAGAAUUAGGGAAAUGAGUUCAAACGGAAGAUAAAAAUCGGUUGCUAAAUGAAUCCCAAUUUGUUGAACGUUAUUUAUGAGACCCUGUUCUACUAUUUGGUUUGAUCUUGUAGUCCAAAGAAUUCCAUACCACGACGUAUCUGGGAUAGUAGUCAUUAGUGAAAAAGGAAUAGUUAUACAAAGGAGUAAAGUAAACCCAUCUCCAAUAGUCCAAUAAUUCUUAUCUUUAGACCACUCUGAGCCGUUUACAAACAUUACAGCAAAUAUGAUCAAGACAUUUAUGGCUCCCACAUAAAUAAGAAGUUGUGCGACAGCUACAAAGUAGGAAUUUAAUAAAAAAUAGAAUAAGGAUAUACAAACAAGAACUAAUCCCAGCGAAAAGGCAGAAUAAAUUGGGUUGGUAAGUAAUACUACUCCUAGACCUCCUAGUAGAAGACCAAAUCCCCCAAAUAGCACAAGAAUCUCAUGUAUUGGUCCAGGUAAAUCCAUUAUGGAUAAGAAGAAAUUUCUAGUAUAAAAUUUUCAUGAACUGACUAAAACUAAAAGAUUCAAGGAAGGAAAAAGGUAUUAGGAUAUUUUUUUGUAUAUACAUAUAAGUUGUUAAGCAGUAGUUAUUCUUUUUUCGUUAGAGUUAGUAAAAAUGGAUUUUUCUAAUAAAAAAUCCUAAUACCUAGUAAUCUGUAAUCGUUCUUGAAUUCCAAGAUUUUUCUUCGUCUAUUUUACUUUGAGGCGAAUUCCUAAUUGUUUGAAUUGUGUAAUCUCCCAUUAUGGAGAUUGGUAACCGACUCAAAGCAAUUUGAUUGUAAUUCAAUUCAUGACGAUCAUAAGUAGAAAGUUCAUAUUCUUCAGUCAUUGAUAAACAAUUUGUGGGACAGUAUUCAACACAGUUACCGCAAAAUAUACAAACUCCGAAAUCAAUACUAUAAUUAAGCAAUUGUUUUCUUUUAAUAUCCUUUUCAAAUCUCCAAUCCACAAGGGGUAGAUCUAUCGGGCAUACGCGAACACAUACUUCACAAGCAAUGCAUUUAUCAAAUUCAAAGUGUAUUCGCCCCCGGAAACGCUCCGAUGUAAUUGAUUUUUCAUAAGGGUAGUGAAUCGUUAUAGGUAAACGAUUUGUGUGGGAUAAGGUAAUUAUGAAACUUUGACCAAUGUAUCUUGCGGCGCGUAUUGUUUGUUGACCAUAACUAAUGAACCCAGUUAGCAUAGGGAACAUAUUCUAAAUCUAUAUAUGAAAAAGGUAUGUUUCUUUCUCUUGUUUGAGAGAACUUUUGUGUUGAAAAUAUUCUUACUGUUAUUGUAUUCUUAUUUAUAGUGAAACUAGUUGGGAAGAAGUUGUUAAUAAGAGAUUGCCCAGAGAAAUAGGUAAAAGAAAUUUCCAUCCAAGAUUUAAUAACUGAUCCAUUCUCAUCCUGGGUAAAGUCCAUCUUAUUGUGAUAGAAAUGAAGAGAAAUAAAUAAGCUUUAGUUAAUGUAAUAAAGAUACCUAUUACCAUUUCCAAAAUUCCAAUUAUUUUAUUCAUUUGGAAAAAUCCAAAAAAGGAUAUAUAGGGAAUAGAGAAAUUCCACCCGCCUAAGUAUAGAACAGUUACAAAUAAAGAGGAAACUAAUAAAUUUAGGUAAGAAACAAGAUAAAAUAAACCAUAUUUAAUACCAGAAUAUUCGGUUUGAUAACCUGCUACUAAUUCUUCUUCUGCUUCUGGUAAAUCAAAGGGUAAUCUUUCACAUUCUGCCAAAGAAGAAAUUAGAAAAACUAGAAAACCUAUAGGCUGACGCCAAAGAUUCCAUCCAAAAAAACCAUAUUUGGACUGUGCUUCAACUAUAUCAACUGUACUUGAACUAUUAGAUAAUCAUAGUCGAUGAUAACAUCACAGUUCCCACCGCUAUUCCAAAACCGUACAUGAAACCUUAGCUUCAUACGGCUCCUCUAUGAUCAGAAAAAAGGAAAGGAUUGUUUCGUUUCGGUAUCAUCCUCUGGGCAUAGAUAGAAUUAGAUAAGAUAAAAUUGAUUGGAAAGCCCAAAAUUAGACCAAAGCAAUUACGUCUGCUAGAAUAACAAAAAAGCGCUUCCGAAUUGAUCUCAUCCUUUAUAUAAUAUAAUUUUGCUUUGUUCGGUAAUAACUUAAUAUUGGAAUAAAUCACUCGUUAUAGCAAUUAAUAAAUGGAAAGAAUUUGGCAUUAGUUCAUGAGGAAUUCUGUAUGAAUAGGGAUAAAGGAAGGAAAGAAUAAAUAAAGAUCCUUUUUUGUAUUGUAUUCCAUAUCUUUUGUCCUACUCUUCUUUCCCCGGGAGGGGUAUACUUAAAAAAAAGAAUAAAGGGUUAAUUCGUUCUUGAUAGCCAUUUCCUUAACAAGUGAAUGGGAACAUACUCUAGACCGGAAUCUGAAGAAAGUACUGCUUGAUCAUUUCCACCAAUUUCAAGUCCUUAUUAUGAUUCCUUUUAUGAGGAAAAAUGUCUAAUGAUUUAGAUUCUCUCAUUACUAAUCCUGUAUGUACUUUAGUGUUCCUAAUCCCUCACUAACUUUUGAUGGAUUGCCUUAUGGUUAUAAGUUUAAAUUAUAGUAAUAACUCAAAAUAUUCUAGUAAUGGAAUUCCAUAUCGCGAAUCCUUUAUUCUUGCCCGCUUCAAGAUAUGAUGACUAAUCAAACAAUCUCAACCUUGGGGUAAAGAGUUUACACUGCUUAUGUUUACUUGAACUUUUUUCUUGUACGUAGGAAAUGAGAUUUUUUACUUUUACUACAAAUUAAUAAGCUGUUUUGUUUCACUCAUAUAGCUAUCGAGUUUAACUUACCAACGCGAAUACAGAAUAAGCAAAGGAAGAUAAGCAUUCAAUGUAUUUUAGAGGAAAAAGAUCCUAUUUUAACGAAUCACACGUAGAGAUAUUGCUAGUACACAAAAAGUUAAUGGUAUUUCAUAACUAAUAGAUUGAGCAGCCGCUCGUAGACCGCCUGAAAAAGAAUAUUUAUUAUUUGAGCUAUAUCCUGCCAUGAGAAGACCAAUAGGAGCAAUACUUGAAAUCGCAAUCCAUAAAAAAACACCAAUACUAAGAUCAGCUAAAACAAAACGAUAUCCUAAAGGGAUAACUAAAAAACUUAAUAAAAUGGAUAUGACUGCUAUAGAGGGACCAAUGCUAAAUAAAGGAAUAUCUCCUCGGGAUGGGAGGAUAUCCUCUUUUAAAAGUAGUUUAGUUCCAUCUGCUAUAGCUUGAAGCAGUCCCAGGGGGCCAGCAUAUUCAGGACCAAUACGUUGUUGUAUCGAUGCGGAUAUUUCUCUUUCUAACCACACAAUUACGAGUACUUCUAUUGUGAUUCCAGUAGGAGGGCAAAAAUGGGUAGAAUCCAUAUAAGUCCGUAGAUUUCUUUAAAUAAUUCCGAUUUCGAAAAAGAAUUGAUAGUUUCUACCUCUACCCUAUCUAUUAUCAUUUCAACGAUCAACUUCCCCCAUAAUGAUAUCUAUACUACCUAAUAUUGUCAUGAUAUCAGCCAAUUUCAUUUUUUUAACUAGCUGAGGAAGAAUUUGCAAAUUAAUAAAACCCGGUGGACGAAUUUUCCAUCUCCAGGGGAAAAGACUAUCAUCUCCUACCAGAUAAAUUCCUAAUUCGCCUUUUGGAGCUUCUACUCUUACAUAAAGCUCUUGCUUUGAUAAUUCAAAAUUGGGCGAAGGUUUUUUACCAAGAAAUCGAUAUUCAAAAUCAUUCCAUUCGGGAUUCUUUGCUUUCUUAAAGCGUCGGGCUUCUAAAUUCUCAUAAGGUCCUCCAGGAAUUUUCUCUACAGCCUGUUGAAUAAUUUUUAUGGAUUCCCUCAUUUCACCGACUCGUACUAAAUAGCGAGCUAACGAAUCUCCUUCUUUUUGCCAUUGGACUUUCCAAUCGAAUUGAUUGUAAGACUCAUAAGGAUCAAUUUUACGAAGAUCCCAUUGUAUUCCAGAAGCUCGUAACAUUGGUCCCGAUAAGCCCCAAUUUACAGCUUCUUCUCCGCUAAUAAAACCGACUCCUUCAACUCGUUCUAAAAAAAUGGGAUUCUGUGUAAUAAGUUCUUGAUAUUCAACAACUCCUUGUAAAAAAUAAUCACAGAAAUCUAAACAUUUAUCCAUCCAUCCAUAAGGGAGAUCGGCAGCGACUCCUCCGAUGCGAAAGUAAUUAUGCAUCAUUCGCAUACCUGUAGCAGCUUCAAAUAGAUCAUAUAUCAAUUCUCUCUCUCUAAAAAUGUAGAAAAAGGGAGUCUGUGCCCCGAGAUCCGCCAUAAAGGUCCAAGCCAUAACAAAUGAGAAGCUAUACGGCUCAAUUCUAACAUAAUUACUCUAAUAUAGCUGGCUCUUUUGGGUAUUUGAAUAUUCUCUAAGAAUUCUGGUGCAUUUACCGUUAUUGCUUCUGUAAACAUAGUAGCUAAAUAAUCCCAUCGUGUUACAUAAGGCAAGUAUUGUAUAAUACUUCUGUUUUCCGCGAUUUUUUCCAUUCCUCUGUGUAAAUACCCUA